UGAAUAGAUGGAUCCAAGGCCUUGCCGCACAAGAAAUAGCAUUAGUUGUUCACUGUGUACUGCGUUGGGAAAAAUUUCCCCAUAUUAGGUAAAAUGAUUACCUAUUGAUGUUUUUUGUGGAAAUAUAUGGGGGAGGCCUAAGUCCAGCAGUCGACGUCUGUUAGCUGAUGAUUCCCAAUUGAUGACGAUGACAAGGUAGAAUUGGACAUCGUGACUAACUAAGACGGAGAUAGAGUGGAAGAAACUUAAUGCUUUUCUUGGUAGAAAUUUGUGGAAGGAAAUGAGAUAUCCUAAAGUUAUUGCUUUGAUAAGUAACGAGACACGAUUGUCUAAUGGGCUUUGACAAGGAAUAUGGUCACAGUCAGGUCAGAAAAAAAAUUGUGCUUCAAAUAUUUUUUUUAAACACUGCCAAUAACUUUGGGGACACUAUUUUAUAAGAAAAAUAUGCUAUGCAAUAUUUUGCCGCCAACAUCUUUUUUAGAAUAAAACUCGGACAUUUUUCAGAGAAAUCGGAAAACCAAUGGCACCUGAGCACUUAUCGCAUUUAAUGCUUUUCAGAUUGUAUGUCAUGUUUGGAGUAGCCUUUCGGUCCAUUCAGUUUGUUGAUUGAAUCUUGAUAGACACUUGAUAAAAAUGUGAUAUAUCUAUUACGGCAUUUGUUACCAUCAUGAUCUGUCGUAACAGCAUGAAUAUUUUUUAAUUGUAAAACUGGCCUUUAUGAAGUGAAAAAAAUAAAAACAAUAAAAGAGUAUCUAACAUAUCUUACUCUAUGCGAUUACCUAUAUAGAACGAUAGUUGUUUGGAAAACAAUUUUAUUGUUGUUUUGAUUGUUGGAUUGUACAAAAAUAUUAUUUAUAUUGGGCGGUAUUUUUAUUUGAAUAUUUUUACCUCAUUAUUUUCUAUACACAUAAAACAACAAUUUUUUGAGAUUUGGUGGAAUAAUCUGUAUUAGUUGACUUUAUUUUAUUACGUAAAUGUGAGUUCUCGAAAAUACCUAAUGCAAUUAAAUUGUAAUUAAAAAUGAUUUAAUAGUUCUUUUUAAACUUUUUUUUACAAUUAUUUUAAAUUCUUUCCAUGCUCAAAAUUUGCUUGUAUUUGUGAAUCGUGGAUGAACUUAUAACUGCUGUCUCCUCCUGAAAGUAAAUUAUAAACAUUACGCAUUAAUCAAACUCUGCCAAUAACAUAAACUGUGUUGAAUAUCUUCUGCCAUUUCAAAUAUUAUUUAUUAUACUUCCUUGUAUGACAGCAAAGGCCAAGUGCUAUAUCACAUUCUUGGUCAGUUUUCCCUCAGGAAUCUGACCCAAGUAUCACACACAUCUACAUCUGUUGUUAAAAUUACCAGAGUUAUCUGCCGGAAGAUGCGAGUUCAAGAUUAUUUCUUCGGGUGCACCAUCUCGUGUCUCAGUUCUGAAAUUCGCUGGCUGCACCUAAAAAAAACAACUAUAUUUAUACAUCACAUCAAGCGCACUACUUGCUACUAGCUGCAACACACAUGCGAAUUGGCUUUGGUAAAUUAAUGUUUUAAAAAAUACAAAACUUUAUUUAUGACAAAACGGUUGUGACAAAAUUUCAUAUAUCGCUAGUCGCUAGACCCACACUAAGGAGAAAAAAAAGUAAUUUUAGUGUUACAACUAUGUCUUAAAAGUCAUUAAAAGAACUAACCCUGGCUGUAUGGACUAAAGUCCUUUGCCUUUCCCAUUAGGGAAAAUUAAUAUCAUAUUCAUUAUAAGUUAGAGAUAUUAAUAAAAUUAAGAGAUAUUGUUUUGACAAAUAUGUUGUGAGAUAAAUAAGAAGUCAACUGAUUUAAAUAAAAUGUUUGGAAAGUU